rnacentral:rRNA from 1 species
UACGAAGGGUGCAAGCGUUACUCGGAAUUACUGGGCGUAAAGCGUGCGUAGGUGGUGAGUUAAGUCUGUCGUGAAAGCCCCGGGCUCAACCUGGGAAUGGCGAUGGAUACUGGCUCGCUAGAGUGCGGUAGAGGAGAGUGGAAUUCCCGGUGUAGCAGUGAAAUGCGUAGAGAUCAUGAGGAAGACCAGUGGCGAAGGCGGGUCUCUGGACAGUUCCUGACACUGAGACACGAAGGCCAGGGGAGCAAACGGG